UGCCCAUUGGCCCAGUGGUCAAGGCGUCUGACUGUUAUCAUAAAUCAGAAACAUCAGAAGAUCCCUGGUUCGAUCCCAGGAUGGGCAG
rnacentral:tRNA from 1 species